rnacentral:rRNA from 1 species
CCCUAGUAACGGCGAGUGAAGCGGCAGCAGCCCAGAUUUGGAAUCUGGUCCUUUUGGGGCCCGAGUUGUAAUCUGCAGAGGAAGCGUCUGGUGCGGUGCCGGCCUAGUUCCCUGGAACGGGACGCCGUAGAGGGUGACAGCCCCGUACGGUCGGCCACCAAACCUGUGUGUCGCUCCUUCGAAGAGUCGCGUAGUUUGGGAAUGCUGCGCAAAGUGGGAGGUAUGCUCCUCCUAAGGCUAAAUACCGGCCAGAGACCGAUAGCGCACAAGUAGAGUGAUCGAAAGAUGAAAAGCACCUUGAAAAUGGGGUUAAAAAGUACGUGAAAUUGCCAAAGGGGAAGCGCUCGUGGCCAGACUCGUGCCCUAUGGAUCAUCCGGCUAUUUCGCCGGUGCACUCUAUUGGGCUCGGGCCAGCGUCGGUCGGCGCCGGUACUAAAAGACAGCGUGAACGUGGCUCUCUUCGGGGAGUGUUAUAGCGCGCUGUGUAAUGUGCUGGCGCCGUCCGAGGACCGCGCAUUUAUGCAAGGACGCUGGCGUAAUGGCCACUAGCGGCCCGUCUUGAANNNCGGACCAAGGAGUCGCCCAGAGACGCGAGUGUGCGGGUGACAAACCCCUGCGCGAAGUGAAAGCGAAC